UGGUUUGUUCUACAAAGAACGAUGAAAUGUCUUGUCAUUCUAAAUCAAAUUAAAACUCGACAGCGGACUAUUUUUAUGUGCAUUUAGAACUUUGUUGACAGAUUGCGAUUCGUGCUCGCGUCGUCUGUCAAAGAUGAUUUGCAAAUUUUUCAUACUAGAAGCAAGGAGAUUGAAAAUUAUUCACAGGAAAAACAGUUUGUUUUGAGGCAAACAAAAUCAACAUUCAAUUAAAUAAAAAAGAGAGUUAAGGAAUUUACGUGCUUUUCCAUGCAUUGUAAGAUUUCCAGAAUAUAGAACAUGUAGUUCCUGAUAAAAAAAAACACCAAAAGAUUGCUAAGAUAAAACUGUUGAGUAACUAUUUGUAAUACAGAAUGCAUCAAGAUGGUGGUAUGCUACAUAUAUAAUAUUGAUACUAUGACAGAUGAGAAAAGAAACUGAAGACAUAACCAAAUGCUGAAGUCAGCAAAGAUUAAGAUAUAAAGAGUAGAUAUUUUCCUGAAGAUCUCAUUUAUGUCUCGAAUGUGAAGGGAACAGAAGCUAUCAUGAUGAUUCUUUAUAAAGAAAAGAUACAGAAACACAAGCUCCUGUAGACACUUAUAAAAAAGAAGAUGUUUUUGCAAUGAAUAUGUGUGAAUGUGAUAAAUUAUGGCAAAUCAACAUGGUCAAUUAACAACAAUAUGUUCUACACAUUUCCUAGAUUUAUAAGUUUCAUAACAUUUAGUUGAGGCAAACUAAAGUUAGAUAACGGAAA